GAUGAACGCUGGCGGCGUGCUUAACACAUGCAAGUCGAACGGGAAUUACUUUAUUGAAACUUCGGUCGAUAUGAUUUAAUUCUAGUGGCGGACGGGUGAGUAACGCGUGGGUAACCUGCCUUAUACAGGGGGAUAACAGUCAGAAAUGACUGCUAAUACCGCAUAAGCGCACAGAGCUGCAUGGCUCGGUGUGAAAAACUCCGGUGGUAUAAGAUGGACCCGCGUUGGAUUAGCUAGUUGGUGAGGUAACGGCCCACCAAGGCGACGAUCCAUAGCCGGCCUGGGAGGGUGAACGGCCACAUUGGGACUGAGACACGGCCCGGACUCCUACGGGAGGCAGCAGUGGGGAAUAUUGCACAAUGGGGGAAACCCUGAUGCAGCGACGCCGCGUGAAGGAAGAAGUAUCUCGGUAUGUAAACUUCUAUCAGCAGGGAAGAAAAUGACGGUAC
rnacentral:rRNA from 1 species